CUUGUAGUCUUGACAGCGUAAUCCACCAGGCUGCUCAGCAUUAACACAGGCAAAGCCAUGAGUAGCGUCAUAUCUGCAAAAUAUAUAAUAAGCAAACUAUUAAAGGGGCACUCCAUCAGUUUUACACAGGAAUGUCACUUUACUCUCACACGGAGAACUGCUCCACCUGUGAAAAUGGAAGUGUAAUACUGAAUCACUGGCGUACCCAUUUAAAGGAAUAGUUUUUUUUGGAAAUACCACUCAUGUCUGUACAGUAAAUAUGAAGCUACUGCCAGCAGCAGGUUUGCUUAGCAUAAAGACUGAAAACAAGGGUAACAGCUAGCCUGGCUCUGUCCAAAGGUAACAAAAUCUGCCCAGCACCUCUAAAACUCAUUAAGUAACAUGCUAUAUCUUGUCUGUUUCAUCCACCCAAAAAAACAGUGUAAAAACAACACGGUGUAGUUUACACAGGGUUAUGUGCCUGACUAAAUCUUGGCCAGGCGCAGUCACUUCCUGUUGUGGGGUUGCCAGGUAACCAGUGGAGACUCUUGUUGCCUGUACUAUGAAGCAGGAUUUGGGGUUAGCGAGGUAACUUCAGGUUAAACCCUGGGUUUUCAGGGUUACGACAGUGGUUCACUUCUUACUGGGGUACAUCGCCAUGGUAACUUAGGCAAUUUGCACACCUAACCUGUAUCACGGUGUUGGCAAGCGGAGAACAGGGAAAGGACCCAAAUGCAGAACGGUAGGAUUGGAGGCCGACGACAGAGGGACUGGUGGAGCCAGUGAUGCCUGGAAACCAGGAGGCUGCAGCUCAGGAGGCUCAGAAGACUGCUGCAGCUCAGAAACAAUGGAUUGCAGCAGCCCAGGAGCAGGACUGAUGACGGCUCUGAGGCACUGGGCAGCUGAGUCUCUGGAGUGCUGGGCAGCAGUGAGGAUGAACAGCUGGCUGGAAGAGUUUGUCGUCUGCCAUGAAGACCAGAAAACUGGCAUCAAUAAGGCUCAUAUGUAUAUUAAGGUCUUGUUGUGAUCCACAUUUUUCCUUUUCCCUUUUCUCAAAGCUCAACAGCUUUAUAAGAUAAAAUCACACAUGUAGAAAAAUUAAUCCUACCUGCAUGAAAACUUACCCUGACAGAAAUCUGAGGGACAGGCAAACCCAUAGGUGGCAUCAUAACUGCAACAAAGAGGAAAGGGAGGUGAUGAGUGAAGCCUAUCACCCCUUCAUCUUCAGGUAAUUCUAUUUUUCUAUGUUGUUAAUCUCACUUUAAAAAGUAUCUGAGGUGUUGGAGGCAGGUUCCCCAGAGAUGGUCUGGACCUCGAUGGCUAUUGGCUUAGGGCAAAUUUCUCUUGGGUAUAUGUUUAGGAGGUCGCUGAGGACCUCAUAGUCUCAGUUUCCUGUUGGGUUGUUAUGAUCAAACCAGAGCAUCCUACAAACAAUGAGGAAUCAAAGAAACCCAUAUUUUAGAGCUCAACCCUAAAUGUUUUUCCUUGAAAUAAAUUAAGUAUCAUUUUUUGUAAUGCCAAAUACCUGAGCAGAACUGUCCUGUGCGGGUGAACUUGACCUUGUAAUAGUCACACUGUCUCUGUUCUGAGUUAAGGCAUACAAGGCCCUCUGAUGCACUGUAACUGCAAAACACCCAUCCCAAUGUUGGUUUUAGCACCAAGAAAAAAUAUGUGGUAUUCAAAAACCUGAGUCUAAGUAAUCUACUGUUUCAUCAUUUCUAAAAGUGGUAGCUCAUGCUAGUUUGUGUGUAUUGAUCCUCUACACGUCACCAACUCUAGAGUGAGUUAAACACCUGACACCUGUAUAUUUCCACCACCAUGUGUGCAGCCAUUCAUUUGAGCACAAAUCUCCUUACAUAAGGUAUCAAAUAACAGCCUUUAAAGUUAAUUUUUUGAUGAAUAUAAACAACUAUUUCUGGCCCAUGCGAAAUGUUUGCACUUGUUUUGUCCUUAUUGAGUUGGUUUGGAGCAGUGGAAACAAUAUCCCAUAGAGGAUCCUAUUAAUAUUAGCCAAUAUCUACUAUUAGUUGUCAGGACUACACCAACUCACAUUAUGUAUUAGGAACAUGUGUUAAUAUCUGAAAGACAAAUAUGUUUUUUCAGUUAUAUUAAAAUACCUUGAAAUCAUGCAAAAUAGUACAGUGAUUUCUCAAAGCUCUGUAAAUAUUUGUUUCAGUUCUAGAAAAUUAUGAUUAAAAAUGUCUGUUAUUCAUAAAAAGCGGAAAAUAAACAGUUUUUGACUCAGACGUUGUACCACAGUAUGAAUCAUCGAAAGUUAAGAGUUUACGUGUGAAAAGAGUUCCUGGUGUGCUGCGACUUGAUUCCAGAAACUGUCUGAGCCUCCAUGUCCACUGGGUUGGAGCAGAUCCUCGUCCAGUGCGUCCUUCUCAAGUCACUCAAGACCUCUGAGUCCCUGUCACCGGAAACAUCCCCUUCAUCAAACCAGGCUGUCUUACAGGCUGCGGAAGGGAAGAGACAAUCUGUUGUGCAUUAAUGCUUAAUUUCUCAAUAGAGUAAGGCAAAAAUAUAAUGCAGGGCUUACUUUCCAAUGCAUUAACAAAGAAUUGAAGGUCUGGAGGAAGAAGUCUUUGAUCUGUUAUAAAAACAUUUUUUGUAACUAUUUGUAAACUAUUGUGUGCAUGAACUAAUAAGAAAUUAAACAAUCAUUAUAUUACCUGAUGCUAGUAGACACCAAACUGCAAAGCUCUAAAGAAAAACAAAGAAAUCAAAGAAAUCACUAGUAUGUACCAUAAUAAAAUACACAAAUUGAAUCAGUUGAAAAUGCACAGAAUCACAGUACCUGUAAAACGAGCAUGAUUUUCUAUCUGGUGAUCUUGAGGAGGGAAAUUAUAAAAAUCCACUUGUGCUCAAGUUCUUCAUUAAAGUGGAAAUAAAAUGUCCUUUGGAUGUUACACACAAA